AACGAACGCUGGCGGCAGGCCUAACACAUGCAAGUCGAACGCCCUAGCAAUAGGGAGUGGCGCACGGGUGCGUAACGCGUGGCGACCGGCGCACGGGUGCGUAACACGUAUACAAUCUACCUUAAACAGGGGGAUAGCCUUUCGAAAGAGAGAUUAAUACCCCGUAAUAAAUUGAACGGCAUCGUUUGAUUUUGAAAGCUCCGGCGGUUUGAGAUGAGUAUGCGUCUGAUUAGCUAGUUGGUGAGGUGACGGCUCACCAAGGCGACGAUCAGUAGGGGAUCUGAGAGGACUAACCCCCCACACUGGUACUGAGACACGGACCAGACUCCUACGGGAGGCAGCAGUAAGGAAUAUUGGUCAAUGGAGGCAACUCUGAACCAGCCAUGCCGCGUGCAGGAUGACGGCCCUAUGGGUUGUAAACUGCUUUUAUACAAGAGAAAACCCUGGUAACGUGUACCAGGUUGAUAGUAUUGUAAGAAUAAGCAUCGGCUAACUUCGUGCCAGCAGCC
rnacentral:rRNA from 1 species